rnacentral:rRNA from 1 species
UGGGGAAUUUUGCACAAUGGGGGAAACCCUGAUGCAGCGACGCCGCGUGAUUUAGAAGGCCUUCGGGUUGUAAAAAUCUUUUCUAUGGGAAGAAAAUGACAGUACCAUAGGAAUAAGGACCGGCUAAUUACGUGCCAGCAGCCGCGGUAAUACGUAAGGUCCGAGCGUUGUCCGGAAUCAUUGGGCGUAAAGGGUACGUAGGCGGGUAAGCAAGUUAGAAGUGAAAUCCUAUAGCUCAACUAUAGUAAGCUUUUAAAACUGCUCAUCUUGAGGUAUGGAAGGGAAAGUGGAAUUCCUAGUGUAGCGGUGAAAUGCGCAGAUAUUAGGAGGAAUACCGGUGGCGAAGGCGACUUACUGGCCAUAACCUGACGCUGAGGUACGAAAGCGUGGGUAGCAAACAGG